AUAGUACUCCCUCCGUCCGGAAAUACUUGUUAUCAAAAUGAAUAAAAGAAAAAUGUAUCUAGACGUAUUUUAGUUAUAGAUACAUUUUUUUAAUCCAUUUUGAUAACUUCGGACGGAUGGAGUACUGU
rfam:Triticum aestivum genome assembly, contig: Triticum_aestivum_CS42_TGACv1_scaffold_577065_7BL